CUGGGCCCAACACCAAUGGAUCACAGUUCUUCAUCUGCACAGCGGAAACUGACUGGCUCAACGGGAAGCACGUGGUGUUUGGUUUUGUUGUGGAUGGCGUGGAUGUUGUCAAGGCGAUAGAGAAGCACGGGACACGCAACGGCACUCCUAAAGCCAAGGUUGUCAUCACCGACUGUGGUGAACUACCAUAGUGCGUCUCCUUCGCUUCGGCCUGCUCUCCUUUAUCAUCCCAGUUAAACUCUAAGCUUCAGCGUAUCAACAGUAACGCUAGAAAAACACCCAGCGAACCCACUUUCUCCUCUUUAAAACAUGUUUGUUUACUGUCUUGACAUUUGAUCUGUAAUAUUUUGUACCUUCUAAUCUGUCCUUUAAGGGCCACAUUUGUUAACAAAAUCAGAAUAAAAUGACGAUGGUGUAAACAAAA